AGUGAGGCUGUGAGACAGAAACUAUAACAAGACUAAGUUUGCAACAAUGGGUGAGCAGGAAUAAGAAACGUAGGGAAUAAGAUACUUGUAGAGACCAGUGCUUUUUCCCAAGCAGUUAAAGGGAUGGUGAAACAGCUCUAUUCCUAAGAGAGGCUGAAGGUAGUUAUUUCAUUUCAAAAGAAGAAUAAAAAAGAAGCUGUGAUGUGUCUAAAGCUAACUUGUUUUAUGUCUCCACAUAUAUCAUUGUCUGCAAGGAAACGUGUGAGCCAAAAGUGAUUUUUAAUAUCCUUGUAGGGUUGGGGAGAGGAUGAUUAAAUGCUACAGGCCAGAAUUACCAGAGGAGAUAAAAGAUGUACAAAUACGGAUAUAAAGCAAAAAACACAGCUUUUUACCAUGAGGGUGGUUGGACACUGGCAUAGAUGCCCAGAGAGGUUGUGAAAUCUCCGUCCUUGGAGUUUUUCAAAGCUCAGCAGACCCCAUGCAACCUGACAUAACUUUGAUGAGAGCAGGGUUUUGGAAAGGUUGGAGUAGAUGACCCCUAGAAGUUCCUUCCAACCUAAAUUAUUCCAAGAGUCUAGAUGACCUAGGGCAAUGAAUACUUUAUGACCUACCCUGUGAAAUAAAAACCCAUUGAUAAGUUUGACCUGGUCAAUACUGUAAGGACACGUAAGCAUCUGUCACUGCUGAUACCCUGCCACCACUGAAAAAUCACAAACCUUAUGCACAUGGGGCAGAGGGUGGAAAGGAUAGCAGUGGUUUGUGGCUAGGAUACAGCAGCUCCUCCAAUUGCUUCUCUAAAAAAGAGGGGAUGGGAGAAUUGAACUGAGAGACAUUGCACCACAGACCUGUGGGAGCAUAACUGUGAGGAACUGCACGGGACCGGCUGCCUGCCCCAUCUCAACCAUGAAUCCCACCACUCUGCAGCCCACUGGCUUCUCCUUCUUUCCUCCAGCCCUCUCUGCAUAGUAGGCAUCCUUCUUUUUCUCAUCUUUUUAUUUCCCCGUGAGAUUAUUAAAUUCUUGGCUGAAUUUUCACAGCACUACUUUUCCAUUUGAAUAGAUUAUGGGAGAUUAGUUACAAACCUUAUUUCCCCAACUAAAAUGUCAGCAUUUCAAAAUGUAUCUUAUUAAAAUGGGAGUAGUUACUUUAGCUGCCCUAUGUAAUGGUCCUUUAAGAAACUGUUGAGUGCUUCUGGUUUGAAAAUCAUGUUUCUAUUAGCAUUUCCCUACUUGGAUAUUGAAAUAUCAAGACCUUUUUGAAAAUCUUGAUCUGACUUUGCCUCUGGUUAAUAGGACAUUCACAUUAAAACCAUUUAAGUUGUUUAAUUUAAGCAGGGGUCAAAUUCUGCCUCUGUUUUGUUGUUCUGCCUGAAGAUUGCUGUUCCAAAGGAAGGUUCAUUGGUUCCAGCUAAUGAGAAGAAGAAAAUACCUCUCGAGUUCAUGAUACCGUAAAUACUUGGAAUGAAAAUUAAACAUUAUUAUUAGCAACUUUCAGCAGGGUUUAAAGUGUUGAAACUUAACCUUGUCAUGUGGAUCCCUAUCACUUAACUUUAAUGAGUAACCAGUAGCAGGAGAGUUUCCUAUAUCGUGUGUGCAGUAGCUGCUGAAGAGAGAUAUGGCAUAUUAUCUAGAAUGUUUUAUAGCUGCUGCUACCUUAUCACUGCAAUAAAGAGAGAAACUAGAAAUUUUAGCCAUUAUCUUCUGAAAGGUGCACUGUAAAACCAUGGUUCCAAAAUGAUUUGUGUAGUGUAAAGAUCAUGUACUCAAACCAAAACUGUUACAGAUUUUAAAAAGAAAUGAUGGCCUAGGUGAUAAUGAUGGGUGAUAAAUAAAAGCAACAAACGACCUUCGUAACUCAGCUGGAAAUAGUUAUCACCACUAUUCCCCCUUUCUUAUGAUAGAUCUUGAUGGCAGACCUAUUUUUUUUUUUUUUCUCCAAAUGUUUCACUGGAGCAGAAGACAGAAAUGGUUGAAAGCUUAGAGAUGAGUGUUUUGGAACGUUUUGCAGAACAAGCUGUCUGGGGCCAUAAACACAAUUCAGUUGUAACUUAAAAUAUCUGAUUGAAGUUGUUCUUUCCAUUCACUGUCUCUUUCCAUAUUUAAAUCCAUACAGAUAAGGAUACCUCUCAGUUUCCAGAGCGAAUCUGUACGCUUGAGUAGCGUAACAUUGGAGGCAGCUUCCUGCUAAAACAAAUGAGCCCCAGAAAGUAACAAACGUUUUGUGUUUACUUUAGUUCAGCUGAUGAAGAAUUACUGUUUUCUAAAGAGGGGAGCAUUUGUAAUGCUGAAGAGCAAUGUUCCUGCAGAUCCCAGGAAGCUGAGUAUCCUCUAUUUAAAAAUGCAGCAAUUUGGUGAAGGCCUAUGCUGGCUAGUGAAUCAUUUCAAGCAGGACUCAAAUUUUUGAAAAGGAACAAUCAGUCUUAUGCUCUGGGGCUUCAGGCAACUAGAGAAUAAUAUAUUUUCUAUUGGGGGAGGAGGGAAGAAGAGUAUGCUCGUCUUCAGUGACAAGAACCUCAGAAGCCUAUCUCUUGAGCCUGGAGAGGAAUAUUGAUUGACAGUUCCUCCUCACCUGCCCACUGAUGGUGAUUCAUAUCAAGAAAGAACAGGAAUUAAGUUGGAA